UUGGUUCCACCAAUUGGUAAGCGAUCAUUAUCAUUUUAUUUAUUUUAAUUUUUUUCAAUUUAUUCUUUUUAUAUUAUACAGGUCAUGCAAGAGGAUGAAUCCAUACCUAACAGGCUAAAACUAUUAGGUUACAGGCCAACAAAAUACAUGACAUAUUGUAAUGGCUGUAAUAUAAAUGGUUUCAAAUAUCACACCCAGUAAUAUUGAUAUCAUAAGAGUAUAAUGAGCAGCCAUAUAUAUAUAAAGGGCAGCUGGUGGGUAG
rnacentral:lncRNA from 1 species